AUCAUUCUGGAACCCGAAGGAACUAAAAAUAAGUUUUCCUUGAUCUUAUUAGACCCCAUAAGCAUCGCAGCAAAUCAAUAGCCACACAGCUUUGCUUCUGCCUGAAAAAUGGUGGUGAUUGAGCAAGAAGAAGAGAACGGACACCCCUCAGUCAACAAUCCUCCAAAGCCAAAAUCAGUUCCCUCGUCGUCAUCGUCCAAAACGGCGACGGAUUCAAGCAAAGACACUGAAACUACAACUCCGGUGGCGGCGGAAGAUGUGAACGGGAAUGACUCUGAUGGGUUCGAAACAGCAAGCGAACGCGAAGUGAGCGAUAAUGAAGAAAUCAUCAAUGAAGAUAAUCAUCAAACACAAGAACCUCAGCCACAUCCAGCAGCAUCGCCGGAGGAAGAGACAGCGGACUCUAAUAUUAACGACGAAGAAUUGCAACAGAAAAUUUUAGCACAAGCUAAUGAUGCGAAAUUGGAAGGCAAUAGACUGUUUGGAGAUGGGCGGUAUGAGGAGGCACUAUUACAAUAUGAUGCUGCAUUACAAGUUGCAUUGGACAUUCCAUUGUUUGUGGAGUUACGUUCCAUAUGCCAUUCAAAUCGUGCUGUAUGCUUCUUGAAAUUGGGAAAGUAUGAGGACACAAUCAAGGAAUGUACAAAGGCCCUAGAACUAAAUCCUUCCUACAUGAAAGCUCUGGUCAGGAGAGGAGAAGCACACGAAAAGCUUGAACACUUUGAGGAGGCAAUAGCAGAUAUGAAAAGAAUCUUGGAAUUGGAUCCUUCAAAUGACCAAGCUAAGAAAGUCAUUCGCCGGUUGGAACCUUUGGCUGCAGAAAAGCGGGAAAAAAUGAAGGAAGAGAUGAUUGGGUAGAUGCCAUGGGAGAUUAAAAGGGUGGAUGAUCUUGAUUUGCGGAAACAGUAGGUUUAUGACAAAGAAAUUGUGUAAAAGCAGUUUGAAUAUGUGUUAUCAAGACAAUUGACUUUCACUACAGUGCUUUAAGUUGAUUCAACGUACUGGCGGGUGGUCUUGAAACGGAAUGAAAGCUGAAGGAAAUGGGAAAUUCUCUGCUAGGCCGAUUUGGUAUGAGUGUUGACAACUUCAAAGCUGUUAAAGAUCCAAAUACUGGUUCUUAUUCUAUUUCAUUCCAACGUUAGUUUUGUAGUAUGUGACGCCUUGGCCUAUAUUUUUAUCCUUGGAAACAUUGUAAGAAAAAUGCAUACUUGUCCGAUUGAAUGACAUAUCAGUUUGCUGUA